rnacentral:rRNA from 1 species
AGAGUUUGAUCCUGGCUCAGGACGAACGCUGGCGGCGUGCCUAAUACAUGCAAGUGGGACGCAAGGAAACACACUGUGCUUGCACACCGUGUUUUCUUGAGUCGCGAACGGGUGAGUAACGCGUAGGUAACCUGCCUAUUAGCGGGGGAUAACUAUUGGAAACGAUAGCUAAUACCGCAUAAUAUUAAUUAUUGCAUGAUAAUUGAUUGAAAGAUGCAAGCGCAUCACUAGUAGAUGGACCUGCGUUGUAUUAGCUAGUUGGUAAGGUAAGAGCUUACCAAGGCGACGAUACAUAGCCGACCUGAGAGGGUGAUCGGCCACACUGGGACUGAGACACGGCCCAGACUCCUACGGGAGGCAGCAGUAGGGAAUCUUCGGCAAUGGACGAAAGUCUGACCGAGCAACGCCGCGUGAGUGAAGAAGGUUUUCGGAUCGUAAAGCUCUGUUGUAAGUCAAGAACGUGUGUGAGAGUGGAAAGUUCACACAGUGACGGUAGCUUACCAGAAAGG